rnacentral:rRNA from 1 species
AGAGUUUGAUCAUGGCUCAGAAUCAACGCUGGCGGCGCGCUUAACACAUGCAAGUCGCACGAGAAAGCGGGAGCAAUCCUGCAAGUACAGUGGCGUACGGGUGAGUAACACGUGGAUUAUCUGCCCUGGAGUGGGGAAUAACGCUGGGAAACCGGCGCUAAUACCGCAUAUUCCCGAGAGGGGAAAGCAGCAAUGCGCUCGAGGAGGAGUCCGCGGCUGAUUAGCUAGUUGGUAGGGUAACGGCCUACCAAGGCUAUGAUCGGUAGCCGGCCUGAGAGAGCACACGGCCACACUGGCACUGAAACACGGGCCAGACUCCUACGGGAGGCAGCAGUGGGGAAUCUUGCACAAUGGGGGCAACCCUGAUGCAGCGACGCCGCGUGAGCGAUGAAGCCCUUCGGGGUGUAAAGCUCUUUCGGCAGGGAAGAUAAUGACGGUACCUGCAGAAGCAGCUGCGGCUAACUACGUGCCAGCAGCCGCGGUAAUACGUAGGCAGCAAGCGUUGUUCGGAGUUACUGGACGUAAAGGGUGUGUAGGCGGCCUUCUAAGUUUGGUGUGAAAUCUCCCGGCUCAACCGGGAGGGUGCGCCGAAGACUGGGGGGCUAGAGUGCGGGAUGGGAGAGUAGAAUUCCUGGUGUAGCGGUGAAAUGCGUAGAUAUCAGGAGGAAUACCUGUGGUGUAGACGGCUCUCUGGACCGCAACUGACGCUGAGACACGAAAGCGUGGGUAGCAAACAGGAUUAGAUACCCUGGUAGUCCACGCCCUAAACGAUGCAUAUUUGGUGUAGGUCAUUCAGUUGAUCUGUGCCGGAGCUAACGCGUUAAAUAUGCCGCCUGGGGAGUACAGUCGCAAGGCUGAAACUCAAAGGAAUUGACGG